GGAAGGUAAUGGAAAAAAAUUGAGAUGCCUCCAAUUAUUUGGAAAUGCAUAGAAGAAAAACUAAGAAAAAAACCCAUACUUCUAGCAGAUGACUUGGCAGUGUUUAACUGACUUGGAAAAAACUCAGGUUUCCUUUGUUGCUGAAGGAACUGCAAAAGAGACAAGAACCAGUAGAAAACAAACAAAACACAGCUUCAAAUAAGAACU
rnacentral:misc_RNA from 1 species